AAUCUCAGCAGUGGACAAAGAGACACCUUGUUGGUGGUGUUGUUCUUAUAUCCACCAGGGCAGAGCAGACAGCAGUCCUUCAUUUGUCCUGGCUUAACGGCUGACUUGGUGGCCAAAGCUGUUUCAUGCCCAGGGCACAUAA
rfam:Mesocricetus auratus contig153185, whole genome shotgun sequence.